rnacentral:rRNA from 1 species
UACGAAGGGGGCUAGCGCUGCUCGGAAUCACUGGGCGUAAAGCGCACGUAGGCGGACUCUUAAGUCGGUGGUGAAAUCCUGGAGCUCAACUCCAGAACUGCCUUCGAUACUGAGAGUCUCGAGUCCGGGAGAGGUGAGUGGAACUGCGAGUGUAGAGGUGAAAUUCGUAGAUAUUCGCAAGAACACCAGUGGCGAAGGCGGCUCACUGGCCCGGUACUGACGCUGAGGUGCGAAAGCGUGGGGAGCGAACAGG